UACAGAGGUCCCAAGCGUUGUUCGGAUUCACUGGGCGUAAAGGGUGCGUAGGUGGCCAGGUAAGUUUGGUGUGAAAGCUCGGAGCUUAACUCCGAAAAGUCAUUGAAUACUAUCUGGCUGGAGGGUCGGAGGGGAGACUGGAAUUCUCGGUGUAGCAGUGAAAUGCGUAGAUAUCAGGAGGAACACCGGUGGUGUAGACGGCUCUCUGGACCGUAACUGACGCUGAGGCACGAAAGCGUGGGUAGCAAACAGG
rnacentral:rRNA from 1 species